GAUGAACGCUGGCGGCGCGCCUAACACAUGCAAGUCGAACGAUUAAAGCACCUUCGGGUGUGUAUAAAGUGGCGAACGGCUGAGUAACACGUGGGCAACCUGCCCCUUUCAUUGGGAUAGCCACGGGAAACCGUGGAUAAUACCGAAUACUUCGAGACUUCCGCAUGGAAGACUCGAGAAAGCUCCGGCGGAGAGGGAUGGGCCCGCGGCCUGUUAGCUUGUUGGUGGGGUAACGGCCUACCAAGGCAAUGAUGGGUAGCUGGGUUGAGAGACCGACCAGCGAGAUGGGGACUGAGACACGGCCCAGACUCCUAGGGGAGGCGGGGGGGGGGAAGCUGACACAAGGGGAGAAGGCGGGAGGCGGCGACGCCGGGGGCGGGAGGAAGGCUUUGGGUUUGUAAACCGCUUUCGGCGGGGACGGGGCGAAAGUGACGGUACCUGAAAAAGAAGCCCCGGCUAACUACGUG
rnacentral:rRNA from 1 species